rnacentral:rRNA from 1 species
CCUACGGGAGGCAGCAGUAGGGAAUAUUGGGCAAUGGUGGAGACACUGACCCAGCCAUGCCGCGUGCAGGAAGAAGGCGCUACGCGUUGUAAACUGCUUCUUUUCGGGAAGAAAAAGCUUCUGCGGAAGUCACUGACGGUACCGAAGGAAUCAGCACCGGCUAACUCCGUGCCAGCAGCCGCGGUAAUACGGAGGGUGCAAGCGUUGUCCGGAUUCAUUGGGUUUAAAGGGUGCGCAGGCGGGACAUUAAGUCAGGGGUGAAAGACGGUUGCUCAACAAUCGCAGUGCCUUUGAUACUGGUGUUCUUGGGUAACCUUGAGGUAGGCGGAAUGGGUGGUGUAGCGGUGAAAUGCAUAGAUACCACCCAGAACUCCGAUUGCGAAGGCAGCCUACUGGAGGUCAACCGACGCUCAGGCACGAAAGCGUGGGGAUCAAACAGGAUUAGAUACCCUGGUAGUCCACGCCGUAAACGAUGAUCACUCGCUGUGGGGUCGGCGAUGCCGUCCCGCCGGUCCGUUACGUACGAACGUACGGUUAACGUUAGAGUCCGACCGUCGGGGUAGGGUGGCGGCGUCCGUCGAAGGGUUAGGUAAACGUUACGAAAGUAGAAGUUAGACGGCGUUGAGACGUUGCCGACGGACGACGACGAGGGGAGGUUAGG